CCUACGGGAGGCAGCAGUAAGGAAUAUUGGUCAAUGGACGCAAGUCUGAACCAGCCAUGCCGCGUGAAGGAUGAAUGCCCUCUGGGUUGUAAACUUCUUUUAUAGGGGACGAAAAAGGGUCUUUUAGAUCAACUGACGGUACCCUAGGAAUAAGCACCGGCUAACUCCGUGCCAGCAGCCGCGGUAAUACGGAGGGUGCAAGCGUUAUCCGGAUUUACUGGGUUUAAAGGGUGCGUAGGUGGGUUGGUAAGUCAGCGGUGAAAUCUUCGAGCUUAACUCGGAAACUGCCAUUGAUACUAUCAGCCUUGAAUAUCCUGGAGGUGAGCGGAAUAUGUCAUGUAGCGGUGAAAUGCUUAGAUAUGACAUAGAACACCAAUUGCGAAGGCAGCUCACUACGGGAUUAUUGACACUGAGGCACGAAAGCGUGGGGAUCAAACAGGAUUAGAUACCCUGGUAGUCCACGCCCUAAACGAUGGAUACUCGACAUUUGCGAUAUACAGUAAGUGUCUGAGNGAAGANAUAAUAUACCACCUCGGAGUACGAGUCGCGAGAUAGAACGUACGAAAGAAAGUUAGUACGGACGUGAGACGUAGACCGAACGGACGACCGACGAGGGGAGGUUAGGGAG
rnacentral:rRNA from 1 species